UCUGUCCCGCUUAAGAAUCAAAUCACUCCAAAAUCAGCAAAAAUAAGGACAAAUCCUUAAACAACUAAGGAUGGAGAAGCAUGGGAAAGUCAUGCACCCAACAGCUAUUUCAAUACCUCAUGGAAGUGAUUUCUAAUGCUGACUGUAGAACUCUUCUUUCUGAGACCAAAUAGAAAUCUCCUGCAGGAAGUGUGGAGAGCCAAUACAAAUGUGAAAACCACAACAUGAGCCAAGAGUGAGCACAAGCAGGACCAGCAGGUUGUGACUCUUCCCCUCCACUCUGCUCUUCUGAGAUCCACCUGGUAUCUCAGCUGUGUCCAGCUUUGGGACCCCCAACACGAGAAGGACAUGGAGCUGUUCAAGGAAGACCAGAGGGGGACACAAAGAUGAUCAGAGGGCUGG